CCUACGGGUGGCAGCAGUGGGGAAUAUUGCACAAUGGGGGAAACCCUGAUGCAGCAACGCCGAGUGAGCGAUGAAGGCCUUCGGGUCGUAAAGCUCUGUCCUAAGGGAAGAAUACUGACGGUACCUUAGGAGGAAGCCCCGUCUAACUACGUGCCAGCAGCCGCGGUAAUACGUAGGGGGCUAGCGUUAUCCGGAAUUACUGGGCGUAACGGGUGCGUAGGCGGCCCUUCAAGUCAGAGGUGAUAGGCUACGGCUCAACCGUAGUAAGCGUUUGAAACUGUAGGGCUUGAGUGCAGGAGAGGAGAGUGGAAUUCCCAGUGUAGCGGUGAAGUGCGUAGAUAUUGGGACGAACACCAGUUGCGAAGGCGGCUCAGUGGACUGUACCUGACGCUGAGGCACGACAGCGUGGGAACCGAACCGGAUUAGAUACCACUGUAGUC
rnacentral:rRNA from 1 species